rnacentral:rRNA from 1 species
CACGUAGGAGGCAAACGUUAUCCGGAUUUACUGGGCGUAAAGCGCGUGUAGGUGGUUCUGUAAGUAGGGCGUGAAAGCUCCCGGCUCAACUGGGAGAGGCCGUUCUAAACUGCAGAGCUAGAGGAUGGUAGAGGGAGGUGGAAUUCCGGGUGUAGCGGUGGAAUGCGCAGAUAUCCGGAGGAACACCAGUGGCGAAGGCGACCUCCUGGGCCACUCCUGACACUCAGACGCGAAAGCUAGGGUAGCAAACGGG